GUGUCUAUUGUGGAGAUGUUAUACCCGAUCCCUUGCCGAACUCGGAAGUCAAGCUCUCUUACGCCGAUGAUACUGCGCCCCGGAGGCGCGGGAAAGUAGGUAGAUGCUU
rnacentral:rRNA from 1 species